GAUGAACGCUAGCGGCAGGCUUAAUACAUGCAAGUCGAGGGGCAUCAAGGUACACGAAAGUGUAUUGUUGGCGACCGGCGGACGGGUGAGUAAUAGGUAGGUAACCUACCUCAUACUGAGGCAUAGCUGGGAGAAAUUCCAGGUAAUUCCUCAUGAGGUUAUAUGACACAUGUGAUAUAAUCAAAGGUAUCGCAAGGUACUGGUAUGAGAUGGGCUUACUGACCAUUAGCUAGUUGGUGAGAUAAGAGCUCACCAAGGCGAAGAUGGUUAGGGGUUUUGAGAGAGAGAUCCCCCACAUUGGAACUGAGAUACGGUCCAGACUCCUACGGGAGGCAGCAGUAGGGAAUAUUGGGCAAUGGGCGGAAGCCUGACCCAGCCAUGCCGUGAGAAGAGCGUCUAGUGGUAUACUUCUUAUUGCACUAAUAUUACGAAUUAUUCUA
rnacentral:rRNA from 1 species